rnacentral:miRNA from 1 species
GAUUUCUGGCUCCCAGGUGUCUUUUAUACAGGUAACGAGCUGAGAUUAGCACUCUCUUAAAGGGAGUGCUCCUAAUCUCAGCUCGUUAUCUGUAUAAAAGACACCUGUCCACAGAAU